CUGAGUACGGCGGAACACGUGAAAUUCCGUCGGAAUCCGGGAGGACCAUCUCCCAAGGCUAAAUACUCCCUAGUGACCGAUAGUGAACCAGUACCGUGAGGGAAAGGUGAAAAGCACCCCGGAAGGGGAGUGAAACAGUUCCUGAAACCGUGUGCCUACAAGUAGUUAGAGCCCGUUAAUGGGUGAUAGCGUGCCUUUUGUAGAAUGAACCGGCGAGUUACGAUUUGUUGCAAGGUUAAGCGGAAAAAGCGGAGCCGUAGCGAAAGCGAGUCUGAAUAGGGCGCAUAAGUAACAGGUCGUAGACCCGAAACCAGGUGAUCUACCCAUGUCCAGGAUGAAGGUAAGGUAAUACUUACUGGAGGUCCGAACCCACGCACGUUGAAAAGUGCGGGGAUGAGGUGUGGGUAGCGGAGAAAUUCCAAUCGAACUUGGAGAUAGCUGGUUCUCUCCGAAAUAGCUUUAGGGCUAGCCUCGAGGUAAAGAGUCAUGGAGGUAGAGCACUGUUUGGACUAGGGGCCCUUCUCGGGUUACCGAAUUCAGAUAAACUCCGAAUGCCAUGUACUUAUACUCGGGAGUCAGACUGCGAGUGAUAAGAUCCGUAGUCGAAAGGGAAACAGCCCAGACCACCAGUUAAGGUCCCCAAAUAUAUGUUAAGUGGAAAAGGAUGUGGGGUUGCUUAGACAACCAGGAUGUUGGCUUAGAAGCAGCCACCAUUGAAAGAGUGCGUAAUAGCUCACUGGUCGAGUGACCCCGCGCCGAAAAUGUACCGGGGCUAAACAUAUUACCGAAACUGUGGAUGAACCUCUUUAGAGGUUCGUGGUAGGAGAGCGUUCUAAGGGCGGUGAAGUCAGACCGGAAGGACUGGUGGAGCGCUUAGAAGUGAGAAUGCCGGUAUGAGUAGCGAAAGAAGGGUGAGAAUCCCUUCCACCGAAUAUCUAAGGUUUCCUGAGGAAGGCUCGUCCGCUCAGGGUUAGUCGGGACCUAAGCCGAGGCCGAUAGGCGUAGGCGAUGGACAACAGGUAGAGAUUCCUGUACCAGUGCUAAUUGUUUAACCGAUGGGGUGACACAGAAGGAUAGGGAAUCGCACGAAUGGAAAUGUGCGUCCAAGCAGUGAGUGUGAGAAGUAGGCAAAUCCGCUUCUCGCGAAGCAUGAGCUGUGAUGGGGAAGGAAAUUAAGUACGGAAGUUCCUGAUUUCACGCUGUCAAGAAAAGCCUCUAGGAAGAGUAGUACUGCCCGUACCGCAAACCGACACAGGUAGAUGAGGAGAGAAUCCUAAGGUGAGCGAGAGAACUCUCGUUAAGGAACUCGGCAAAAUGACCCCGUAACUUCGGGAGAAGGGGUGCUCUAUUAGGGUGCAAGCCCGAGAGAGCCGCAGUGAAUAGGCCCAGGCGACUGUUUAGCAAAAACACAGGUCUCUGCAAAACCGUAAGGUGACGUAUAGGGGCUGACGCCUGCCCGGUGCUGGAAGGUUAAGAGGAGUGCUUAGCUUCGGCGAAGGUACGAAUUGAAGCCCCAGUAAACGGCGGCCGUAACUAUAACGGUCCUAAGGUAGCGAAAUUCCUUGUCGGGUAAGUUCCGAC
rnacentral:rRNA from 1 species